rnacentral:rRNA from 1 species
ACGAGUGGCGGACGGGUGAGUAAUGUCUGGGAAACUGCCUGAUGGAGGGGGAUAACUACUGGAAACGGUGGCUAAUACCGCAUAACGUCGCAAGACCAAAGAGGGGGACCUUCGGGCCUCUUGCCAUCAGAUGUGCCCAGAUGGGAUUAGCUUGUUGGUGAGGUAACGGCUCACCAAGGCGACGAUCCCUAGCUGGUCUGAGAGGAUGACCAGCCACACUGGAACUGAGACACGGUCCAGACUCCUACGGGAGGCAGCAGUGGGGAAUAUUGCACAAUGGGCGCAAGCCUGAUGCAGCCAUGCCGCGUGUAUGAAGAAGGCCUUCGGGUUGUAAAGUACUUUCAGCGGGGAGGAAGGUGUUGUGGUUAAUAACCGCAGCAAUUGACGUUACCCGCAGAAGAAGCACCGGCUAACUCCGUGCCAGCAGCCGCGGUAAUACGGAGGGUGCAAGCGUUAAUCGGAAUUACUGGGCGUAAAGCGCACGCAGGCGGUCUGUCAAGUCGGAUGUGAAAUCCCCGGGCUCAACCUGGGAACUGCAUUCGAAACUGGCAGGCUUGAGUCUUGUAGAGGGGGGUAGAAUUCCAGGUGUAGCGGUGAAAUGCGUAGAGAUCUGGAGGAAUACCGGUGGCGAAGGCGGCCCCCUGGACAAAGACUGACGCUCAGGUGCGAAAGCGUGGGGAGCAAACAGGAUUAGAUACCCUGGUAGUCCACGCCGUAAACGAUGUCUACUUGGAGGUUGUGCCCUUGAGGCGUGGCUUCCGGAGCUAACGCGUUAAGUAGACCGCCUGGGGAGUACGGCCGCAAGGUUAAAACUCAAAUGAAUUGACGGGGGCCCGCACAAGCGGUGGAGCAUGUGGUUUAAUUCGAUGCAACGCGAAGAACCUUACCUGGUCUUGACAUCCACAGAAGAAUCCAGAGAUGGAUUUGUGCCUUCGGGAACUGUGAGACAGGUGCUGCAUGGCUGUCGUCAGCUCGUGUUGUGAAAUGUUGGGUUAAGUCCCGCAACGAGCGCAACCCUUAUCCUUUGUUGCCAGCGGUUAGGCCGGGAACUCAAAGGAGACUGCCAGUGAUAAACUGGAGGAAGGUGGGGAUGACGUCAAGUCAUCAUGGCCCUUACGACCAGGGCUACACACGUGCUACAAUGGCGCAUACAAAGAGAAGCGACCUCGCGAGAGCAAGCGGACCUCAUAAAGUGCGUCGUAGUCCGGAUUGGAGUCUGCAACUCGACUCCAUGAAGUCGGAAUCGCUAGUAAUCGUGGAUCAGAAUGCCACGGUGAAUACGUUCCCGGGCCUUGUACACACCGCCCGUCACACCAUGGGAGUGGGUUGCAAAAGAAGUAGGUAGCUUAACCUUCGGGAGGGCGCUUACCACUUUGUGAUUCAUGACUGGGGUGAAGUCGUAACAAGGUAACCGUAGGGGAACCUGCGGUUGGAUCACCUCCUUACCUUAAAGAA